rnacentral:tRNA from 1 species
GCAGGUAUAGCUCAGUGGCAAAGCACAAGCUUAGUAGCAUGCACAAGGUCCUGGGUUCAAUACCCAGUACCUACC